CAGCAGUGGGGAAUAUUGCACAAUGGGCGAAAGCUGAUGCAGCCAUGCCGCGUGUAUGAAGAAGGCUUCGGGUUGUAAAGUACUUUCAGUAGGGAGGAAGGUGUUGUAGUUAAUAGCUGCAGCAUUUGACGUUACCUACAGAAGAAGCACCGGCUAACUCCGUGCCAGCAGCCGCGGUAAUACGGAGGGUGCGAGCGUUAAUCGGAAUUACUGGGCGUAAAGCGCAUGCAGGUGGUUCAUUAAGUCAGAUGUGAAAGCCCGGGGCUCAACCUCGGAACCGCAUUUGAAACUGGUGAACUAGAGUGCUGUAGAGGGGGGUAGAAUUUCAGGUGUAGCGGUGAAAUGCGUAGAGAUCUGAAGGAAUACCAGUGGCGAAGGCGGCCCCCUGGACAGACACUGACACUCAGAUGCGAAAGCGUGGGGAGCAAACAGGAUUAGAUACCCUGGUAGUCCACGCCGUAAACGAUGUCUACUUGGAGGUUGUUCCCUUGAGGAGUGGCUUUCGGAGCUAACGCGUUAAGUAGACCGCCUGGGGAGUACGGUCGCAAGAUUAAAACUCAAAUGAAUUGACGGGGGCCCGCACAAGCGGUGGAGCAUGUGGUUUAAUUCGAUGCAACGCGAAGAACCUUACCUACUCUUGACAUCCAGAGAAUUCGCUAGAGAUAGCUUAGUGCCUUCUGGAACUCUGAGACAGGUGCUGCAUGG
rnacentral:rRNA from 1 species